GCACUUCGGGGAGACACAUGCCCCUGGACAGGAAAAGGGGUCUCUGCUCUCACUUUAGUGAAAGGAGCAGUGUGCCGAGGCCAGAGGGCUACCCGGGCUUUCAGGAGGGAGCGAGGGAUGGGGACCCAGUCAGGGUGGAGCUGGGUAAUGCGGUGAUGCAAUUAGGAUCACCAGGCUGUAGGGAAGAGAAAGCUGUGGGACAUGGUGUGGGUAUGGGUGGUCCCGAACUCAGGGCUGAGGCAGACGGACUCCCAAGCACUCACUGCAGCAGCUGAAGAAGCCGCUCCCCAUACUGCAGCCGGAAGUAUUCGGCCAGGUCCUCCUCUUCCAUGAUGCCCAAACUCAUGGUGGCGGCUACCUACCAGCCCAGCUGGCCUUCUUUCAGUAUGAAACGAUGAGCGGCAGAGCCACGGGGCACUCGGGGGUGGUGGCUGGGUCCUUGCCCUCCUCUCCCCCUGCUUUCAAAGUCCCACUGAGAGUGGAUGUCUGAGAGACGCAGCAGAAGCCAGCCAGAGGCUGCCUUAGUGUGAUGCGCUCCUGCAGUGAUAGGAGACCUGGUUACCUAGCAACAAACUGGCCGGGUUCUGUGGACAGCAUCUGAGACCCACGGGUUGCCCUCUGACCUGUAUCCCCACUAACCGCAGUCUCUAACUGAGGUCACCUCUCUGUUUCCGCUCGCACCCUUCGGGAACUCUGGGAAGAAGGUGGUGGCUUGGUUUGGAGGGGCUGUGGGAUGAUGCCAGUCUUUGAGGAAGUUGGGUGCUUCUGGAAUCAUCUGCUACUCUGAGAUAUGCUGUGAUCAUGUACUGUGAAAAUUCAAGAAGAUGGUUGAUUUCGAUGAUUUGAGUGUAACGUGAUGCUAUGCAGUUUGCAGAUGGGAUGAAGCUGAUCUGCAUGCACGGACGUGAGAAGUGGGGAUGACAGAUGAAGAGCUGCAGAGCAGCAUGCUUCGCAGGAUGCAGCAUGUGCAUGUGUGUGGUGGAGGACAGGCAGGCUGUGGGAGGCCAUCCCCAGAGCUCUGGAGACGAGAAUGGCAUGGGGUGGGGAAGGUGUUUGGAAUUUUAAAACAUUUUUUUUACUCUCCAUACUGCUUGUUUAUAUUGUCUUACAUGGUUUCGUUGUUUUCAUUAAAACCACACACAC